GGCCUGAUGGUCUAGUAGUAUGAUUCCUUGUUAGGGAGCGAAGUUCCUGCACUCGAGGAGGUCCUGGGUUCAAUUCCCUGUUAGGCCC